rnacentral:lncRNA from 1 species
AUGGGCUCCUCCGGGAGCUCGGUGACCGACGGGAAGUACUGGCUCACCCGAGCCACCUCCGCCUCCGUCAUCCGGUGGGUGACCCAGGGCCCCGGUCGCCCCCGGCCACCAGAUCUAUCCCCUUUAGUUCCCUUAGACGUACCUUUGUCUUGAGCUACGACCUCCGCCCACGACCUCGACGGCGGCGCCGCAGUCUGCAUCGUCGAGUCUUUGUUUGCUUCCACCGCCAUCGUCCCAGAUGCCUGAUCCCCGACCGAGCCAGACGACCCCACCAUCGGCAGCUUCCCCUUUGCCUGGUCCAUCGGGAUGCCCUGCAAAAAAGGAAAGAAACAGCGCCUUUCUCACUGGGUGUUAGACAGAACCUGGGAUCACGGGAUGAGCCGAGCACCAGGUAGCAACAGAAACUCUUCUUCCGCCGCCGAGCACCGCCGGCGAAGAAGACCGUUAGCUUUUCUCUCU